CUCAAUUAUAGUUACUGAGUUUUUCUUUCUUCUUCUUCCUCUUUUCAUUUUCUUUUCUUCUUGCUCUUCUUUUCCCUGUUUCCGUCCGAGUCUCCAAAAGGGGAUGAUCGUGGGGGAAGGGGGGAAAUGAGAGUAAUGGAGAAAUUGAGAAAUCAGAGAUGAGGGUGAAGUUGAGAGAGAGACCCGAUCUUUCCUCUUAUUUCCUUCAUCUUUCUUCUUCUCUUUUCUCUUCUUUUUGGUCUUCUUUCUUUUCUUUCUGCUUGUUGAAUCAGAGAGGGAAACCGAGAGAGAGAAAGCCCGAGAGGGAGAGGGUGAAAGAGAGACAUAGAGAGAGAGAGAGAGAGAAGAGGCGUCGAUCGUGAGAGAGAGAGAGAGUGGAAUUGAGAGUGAAACCGGGAGAAGCCCGGAGAAGACCCGAUCGGAGGCCGAUUUUCCGGUGGAGCCAGAGAACCCACCGGACCCAGGAGGAUCCGAAACGUCCCAGGAGACCCGAAAGAAACCCGACCCUCCGACGAGACCCAGAGGCGCGAUUCCAACCGGUCCCAGUGACUAUUUUCGGCCAAUUUUUGGUGGGUCUACUCCGAUGGAACAUGGGACACGAUUUCCGGCGACCCGAGUCCGUUUUCCAGCGAAAUCAAAGAUGAUUUCAGAUGGGUUUCUCAGAAACUCUCUGGGUUUUAUAAAUGAAGGUUAGGACUCAAGAGGUUUUAAAGCUAAGGACACAUAGAUUAUAGUUUGUUUGUAAUCUUCUGUGUUUAUAACAUUUUAUGUUGAUAAGAUUGCUAAUAAUUUUCAUGUAUUCUUUUGUGUCAUUAUUGACACCUGUUUCUAUGUAUUUGUUCCAAGUAUUUUCCAAAUAUGUUGGAUAAUUAUAUUUUUCCUUUACCAAUUUAUAACUCUGAUGUUGUAGUAAUGUUACGUGGAAAUCGAAAAAUUUUUACUUA